AUGUACAAUCCUACAACAUAUCAUUAAUGCACCAAAUCCCAUUAGAACUCCGCUGCUAAGUGCGCUCAGGAUAGAGUAGUACUGGGAUGGUUGACCACCCAGGAAGUCCUAGUUUUUUACAUG
rnacentral:rRNA from 1 species